rnacentral:rRNA from 1 species
AUUGAACGCUGGCGGCAUGCUUUACACAUGCAAGUCGAACGGGUCCUUCGGGACUAGUGGCGGACGGGUGAGUAACGCGUGGGAACGUGCCCCUUGGUACGGAAUAGCCCCGGGAAACUGGGAGUAAUACCGUAUGUGGUCGAGAGACGAAAGAUUUAUCGCUGAAGGAUCGGCCCGCGUCUGAUUAGCUUGUUGGUGAGGUAACGGCUCACCAAGGCUACGAUCAGUAGCUGGUCUGAGAGGAUGAUCAGCCUCACUGGGACUGAGACACGGCCCAGACUCCUACGGGAGGCAGCAGUGGGGAAUAUUGGACAAUGGGGGGCAACCCCUGAUCCAGCCAUGCCGCGUGGGUGAUGAAGGCCCUAGGGUUGUAAAGCCCUUUCGGCGGGGAAGAUAAUGACGGUACCCGCAGAAGAAGCCCCGGCUAACUUCGUGCCAGCAGCCGCGGUAAAGUCUG